rnacentral:misc_RNA from 1 species
AACUUUUAUGUCUCUCGCAUUGCAGCUCAAAAGCAUUCCAAUUAGUUCCUUAGAUUUGAGCAGGAAUGACAAUGGAAAUCUUAAGUGGAAACUCUUUCUAAAAUUAGUUUAGCACUUUAGCUUGAUCAGGGCUUGGUCCUUAGUGAAUAGGUGAAGUUGAUUGUUGGUAGUCUUGUUUAAUGGAAAAACUAGAGUAAAGGGCUUGUGCAGGUGCAUGAGUGUAUACCAGUAUACAUGAACACGUGGUUGGUGUCUAUUUUUUAUCUUCUUUUUUCGAUCUGAAGCUUUGUUGGAGGAAAGGGUUUGAUAGAGUAAGGAAAUAACACAGCAACAAUCAAUAAAAUUACAAGAAAUGGACCAGAAGUUACUGUUAUGGCAUAUAUGGAUUGAAGAUUAGUACAGCAGAAGAAAUGGAAAGAGAUUACAGCGUUACAGGAGAUGAUUUCCCCCAAGCUGAAACACUCUGCUCUCCAAGCUGCAAGAGCUGGAUACACAAACAACAAAAUUUAGAAUGCGCUAUCCUUUUUAACUACUGCUGCCCCUAUUCCCGCGCUUUCCAUUCUGUUACGCCUCUUCAUGUGUUCUGUACUUUUUCCUUUAACUGAAUUCCAGCUUGUCCUUCUUGAGAAUUCUUGGGCCUUCUAGAAUACACAAUCCACUUGAUCUUGGUUCUGCCUUUAUUCUCUGGCAUGUUCCUAUCAG